rnacentral:rRNA from 1 species
GACGAACGCUGGCGGCGUGCCUAAUACAUGCAAGUCGAACGAGGCCGACCUUCGGGUCAAUGGUCGAGUGGCGAACGGGUGAGUAACACGUGAGAAACCUGCCCCGAACUCUGGGACAACCACUGGAAACGGUGGCUAAUACCGGAUACCGUCUUCUGGUCGCAUGGCCGGAUGACGAAAGCUCCGGCGGUUCGGGAGGGUCUCGCGGCCUAUCAGUUUGUUGGUGGGGUAAUGGCCUACCAAGACAUCGACGGGUAGCUGGUCUGAGAGGACGAUCAGCCACACUGGGACUGAGACACGGCCCAGACUCCUACGGGAGGCAGCAGUAGGGAAUCUUGCGCAAUGGGGGAAACCCUGACGCAGCAACGCCGCGUGCGGGAUGAAGGCUCUCGGGUUGUAAACCGCUUUCAGCAGGGACGAAAAUGACGGUACCUGCAGAAGAAGCCCCGGCCAACUACG